UUCCCGGUAUCCAGACCGAAGUGGCAUUCAGGCCAGUUUCCGAUUUCCAGAUCGAAGAAGUUCUCAACAAUCAGGACGAAGAACUUAGGGUAUUCAGACCAGUUUUCCGGUGUUCAGACCGAGGCGGUGUUCAGACCGAGGCGGUAGUCAGACCAAAGUGGCGUUCAGGCCAGUCUCUCCCGAUUUUCAAAUCGAAGAAGUUUCCGAUAUCCAGACCGAAGUGGCAUUCAGGCCAGUUUUUCCGAUAUCCAGAUCAAAGUGGUGUUCAGACC
rnacentral:lncRNA from 1 species